UACAGAGGGGGCGAGCGUUGUUCGGAAUUACUGGGCGUAAAGGGCGCGUAGGCGGCCUUCUAAGUCGAACGUGAAAUCCCCGGGCUCAACCCGGGAACUGCGUCCGAUACUGGGAGGCUUGAAUCCGGGAGAGGGAUGCGGAAUUCCAGGUGUAGCGGUGAAAUGCGUAGAUAUCUGGAGGAACACCGGUGGCGAAGGCGGCAUCCUGGACCGGCAUUGACGCUGAGGAGCGAAAGCUAGGGGAGCAAACGGG
rnacentral:rRNA from 1 species